rnacentral:rRNA from 1 species
GACGUAGGGCGCGAGCGUUGUCCGGAUUUAUUGGGCGUAAAGAGCUCGUAGGCGGCUUGUCGCGUCGACCGUGAAAACCCGGGGCUCAACUCCGGGCUUGCGGGCGAUACGGGCAGGCUAGAGUUCGGUAGGGGAGACUGGAAUUCCUGGUGUAGCGGUGAAAUGCGCAGAUAUCAGGAGGAACACCGGUGGCGAAGGCGGGUCUCUGGGCAGUAACUGACGCUGAGGAGCGAAAGCGUGGGGAGCGAACAGG